rnacentral:rRNA from 1 species
UACGUAGGGCGCAAGCGUUGUCCGGAAUUAUUGGGCGUAAAGAGCUCGUAGGCGGUUUGUCGCGUCUGCUGUGAAAGUCCGAGGCUCAACCUCGGAUCUGCAGUGGGUACGGGCAGACUAGAGUGUGGUAGGGGGAGACUGGAAUUCCUGGUGUAGCGGUGAAAUGCGCAGAUAUCAGGAGGAACACCGGUGGCGAAGGCGGGUCUCUGGGCAGUAACUGACGCUGGAGGAGCG